CAGUGAUUCUCACACUUCUUUGAAGGGCAACCAGAUUUAAGGGAGACAUUGUUAAUGUUGUUAGUGAGAAAAAUGUAAAUGUUUGAUAUUUAAAAAAAACGGUUGAUUUCAUUUCUAAAUGUCUUUUUGUAUGAGAAACAUGAUCAAUGUUACAGUCUAUAUCUGUCAAUUCUGAAUCCACCGUGCAGUUAGCAUUAUGUGUAAGCGUCUCAAAUAUCAGCUGUGCAGUGUGUGUGUGUGUGUGUGUGUGUGUGUGUGUGUGUGUGUAUGUGUGUGUGUGUGUGUGUGUGCGUGCGUGCAUGUGUGUGUGUGGAGGUUGAAGUUAAGGUCUCUGCUAUUGGAAGUGCACUAUAUCCAUCCAUGCCCAUUCCAAGAACCAGACCACACUCCUAUCGCUCUCCCCUUUUGACCAGACCUUUACUUAGUAGUAUUUUCAUCUGGAAUGUGGUUUAGGUGCCUGAUGUUUUGAGUUCUUGUACCUGCUUAGUUUGUCUGUGGUCUCUCCAAUGGUUUCAGAUGAAGCUUCAGUAGUCAGUAGCACCAUGUUGUUGUACCUGAAUUCAGGAGAUGGAAUGUCCAUUUUUUUGUAAAGCUUGUUGAGUGCUGGUUUUCUGUGCAUAUCACAAUGUCCUAAAUCAGUUAACUGUAAUUUUCUAUUCAACCGUUGAUGUAGAGUAUUAGAUGCAGUUUUGUUACAGGGUGAACAGUGAGUCUGAUUAGAGGAGCUCUUCACCUGAAUUUGGUACCUGUUACUGUAGCCAUUUAGCCUGAACCUAAUGUCACUGUGCCCUCCUAUGUACCCUGUCCUACUGUAUGUAUCUGUCCCCUGUCCUCUGUCCCUGUCUUCUGUACAUGUCCACUUUCCCCUGGCCUCUGUCCCUGUCCUCUUGUCCCAGACCUAUUGUCCUCACCUCCCCAGACUGUUGUAACUCUUCCCUCUCUUCCUGGUCUAACUCGCUUUACCAGAUUUUUCUGCAAAUGUAUUUCAUACGAAGGCCAUUAUUUGUAAAUACACGUGUUGGAGCAGCUAUGACUAACUACAACACAAAAAUGAUUUAAUAAAAGUUGUUUGUCAUUGUCUCUCAAAUUUGUAAUGUCUUUUCUUUUUUACGUAAAUUGAACUGCUUUGUCUAAUGGGGCAGCAGAUGGCCUCCUGGUUAGCGUGUUGGGCCAGUAACAGAAAGGUUGCUGGAUCGAAUCCCCGAGCUGACAAGGUAAAAGUCUGUUGUUCUGCCCCUGAACAAGGCAGUUAACCCACUGUUCCCCAGUAGGAUGUCAUUGUAAAUAAGAAUUUGUUCUUAACUGACUUGUCUAGUUAAAUAAAGGUCAAAUAAUGGAUGGAAAAUUAAAUAGAGACAAGCUACUGCUCUUUGACAAAAAUGGAAGAUAACUGUCAAUAAGCAGUACGUGUUAGGCAUCCAAAGUUGUUUAUUUACACUCCUUACUGCUGAACAGCUGUCAUUCUAUUAUCUGAAGUUAAAUCCCAAAUAGAAAAACUACACAACUUCAAACAAUCAUACUUGAACCUGCAAUGUGUUGAGUGAUUUCUUAGGAUCUCUGCCAAAAGCUGCUAGGCUUCUCUCUCAUUAUCCUUGUUUUCUCUCUGUGUGUCUAUCCCUCUCUCUCUCUCUUUCUCGGUCCUUCCUCUCUCUUUCCUCUCUUUCUCUGACCUCUCUUUCCUCUCUCCCUCUCUUUCUCUCUCUCACUCUCUCUGUCCUCUUUCUCUCACUCUCUCUCACCUCUUUCUUUCUCUCACGCUCUCUCACCUCUUUCGCUCUCUCACUCGCUCUCACCUCUUUCAGCAAUGUAGUGCGCUGCCAACCCACAGCUCUCUGCGUCCUCCCGCAACAGGACGGGUAGCCUACUCUCAUCAGAGAGACCUUUGAAACCUUGAAUAAGAGUUUCAAAUUUGGGGAAAUGACACUCUCUAAUUGUUUUAUAUAUUUUUUUAAACAUUUUGUCAGGAAAUGCAGCUCCGUCUCAG
rnacentral:lncRNA from 13 species